UACGUAGGGUCCGAGCGUUGUCCGGAAUUAUUGGGCGUAAAGGGCUCGUAGGCGGUUUGUCGCGUCGGGAGUGAAAACACGGGGCUUAACCCCGUGCCUGCUUCCGAUACGGGCAGACUAGAGGUAUGCAGGGGAGACUGGAAUUCCUGGUGUAGCGGUGAAAUGCGCAGAUAUCAGGAGGAACACCGGUGGCGAAGGCGGGUCUCUGGGCCGAUACUGACGCUGAGGAGCGAAAGCGUGGGGAGCAAACAGG
rnacentral:rRNA from 1 species